CUUCAGUCCGGGACAACUUUCCGAAAGGGGAGCUAAUACCGGAUAACAAUGUUUGACAUAAGUUGAAUAUUUGAAAGCUCCGGUGCUGAUGGAUGAGUCUGCGUCCCAUUAGCUUGUUGGUGCGGUAGUGGCGCACCAAGGCCGCGAUGGGUAGCGGGUUUGAGAGGACGAUCCGCCACACUGGAACUGAGACACGGUCCAGACUCCUACGGGAGGCAGCAGUGGGGAAUAUUGCACAAUGGAGGAAACUCUGAUGCAGCAAUGCCGCGUGAGUGAAGAAGGCCCUUGGGUCGUAAAGCUCUUUUAUGGGGGAAGAUGAUGACGGUACCCCAAGAAUAAGCACCGGCUAACUACGUGCCAGCAGCCGCGGUAAUACGUAGGGUGCAAGCGUUGUUCGGAAUUACUGGGCGUAAAGGGCGCGCAGGCGGAGGUGCAAGUCGGAGGUGAAAGCCCGGGGCUCAACCCCGGAGGGUCUUUCGAAACUGCAUCUCUAGAGAGGG
rnacentral:rRNA from 1 species